rnacentral:rRNA from 1 species
ACGAACGCUGGCGGCGUGCUUAACACAUGCAAGUCGAACGGAAAGGCCCUGCUUUUGUGGGGUGCUCGAGUGGCGAACGGGUGAGUAACACGUGAGUAACCUGCCCUUGACUUUGGGAUAACUUCAGGAAACUGGGGCUAAUACCGGAUAGGAGCUCCUGCUGCCUGGUGGGGGUUGGAAAGUUUCGGCGGUUGGGGAUGGACUCGCGGCUUAUCAGCUUGUUGGUGGGGUAGUGGCUUACCAAGGCUUUGACGGGUAGCCGGCCUGAGAGGGUGACCGGCCACAUUGGGACUGAGAUACGGCCCAGAGUCCUACGGGAGGCAGCAGUGGGGAAUAUUGCACAAUGGGCGGAAGCCUGAUGCAGCAACGCCGCGUGCGGGAUGACGGCCUUCGGGUUGUAAACCGCUUUCGCCUGUGACGAAGCGUGAGUGACGGUAAUGGGUAAAGAAGCACCGGCUAACUACGUG